GUUCUGUGGCUCAGGCAGUAGAGCAUUGCACUAGGAUUGCAAAGGUUGUGGGUUCAAAGCCCAGAGAAUU